UCUAAAUAUAAAAUUAUAAAAUUUAAUUUACAUUAAAAAGACACGUAUACAAAAUUUAAUUGUUUAAAAUAUUGGAAUUAAAACUAUAUUAUAUUACUGUUAGAAACAAUGAUAUAACUUAUUGUAAGCCACGUAUUGCGAUUACAUACAUCUUGCACGAUAUAUAAAUAGGCGUUAUGCGGAUAUUAUUAACACACAGAGAAAUAGAAAGUGCGUGUUCUAAUCGCAUGGUACGCCUGAACAAAGGUAUCAGGUCUCAUCGCAUUAUCGAACUGUGAACGUCGUGACACAGUCCAGCUGCGUGAAACAUAAUCGCGAUGACGCAAAUGAAGAAGAAAUGCAUUUUCACUUUUGCUCUACCACUGUCGUCACGCUUUCGCGUGGCAUCCGCUUGUUCACUUUCGAUUUUUUCCCGCACCUCGGAAAAAAUGGCAUACCGUUUUCGACCCUCGCGUCAUCAAAGAAGUUAUUUAUAUAAAAAUGUCACGUGUACGGAUCCGAACGGGUGUAGAGUCUUUUCAUUACGCGCUCGUUGCCAUUUGGUUGAUUUCCGCGGAGAGAGGGAGAGACCGUAUCGUGACGUAUUCGAACGAGAGAUGGAAGCGGGUGAUGUCCCUUGGGUCUCCCACCGUGCAAUAUCGAUCGACGACCUAACUUUAUACUUUGCUUUUGCCAUGUAUUACAACAUGCAGGCCAUUUAGAGCCAAAUCGGAAACAUCGUUCAGUACUGUUUCCAAACUUAAGGAAGUUCAGGACAAUUCGAGCCCGCGAAAUCGCUUUGGAGAUGCUUCUCUCCGCGGAUCAAUGCUUCAAUAUACUCGCCAACAAUGAAUCUCACCAGUAUAAACGUAACAGAAGUGUGUUAUGUAAUUUAAAAAAAUUAUAUUUUACGUUCUCAUUAUUCGAUUAGACUUUCGAGACACAUACUUUUGAAACUGCUGGAACAGAAAUGCCGCGCGAUUCUUUUUCAACAACAAGCAAUUGUGUAACACGACGCUUAUUGCAAACAAUCGAUAUGACAUCAGCGGAGGAAGAUAUGCAGAUAUACGAUAUCGCUUUGCAAACCGAGUGGCAGCUCGGCUAAUUGCGCGUAAUUGUAGCGCGCGAGGAAAACCAUUUCGCGGCCGAAUUAAUGGGGACGAGAGCCGCCGCGUUGCGUGGCACGUUUACGAGUGUAACGCUGCUUAUUGCGCGAAUCAGGAGCAACCAUUUGUCAAUAAACUUCGCAGCAGCGACUCGCGAUUUCUCCGCCCGUUUCACCGGGAGUUGGUUAUCUUCCCAUGCCAGGCGUGCCUCGCGAAUAAUCGAAGCCAUUCCGUUAAUAGACUCGUCUCCUCCGCCGGUGCAUAUAACGAAGGUCAAUAAUUCGAUAAAAUUAUUUGUGUAUACGUGAAGAAUCCGCCUUAUUGAAAUAUCGAUCGUCCUCCCGCGAAUCUGCAAUCGCGUCGCAUAUUACGAUACAACUUGUAUUCUAAUAAAAGAAUUGUGUAAACGUAAUUCCGAUUUCAGUCGCCGCAGAAUUGCGAUUAUUACUAGAAGUCUGACAUUUUGGCGAUAUCUUGUUUCAAUAUUUUCUCCAACUAAAAAUAUUUUUCGCUCUAACGCAAAAUUUGUUUUCAAUAUUCUUUCCUUUGGCGUUCGAUUCGGUUAUUCAAUGAAAUUUUGAUAUACAAUUUCGGAUUUAAUUUAGUGUAUUGAGCAUUUUGAAUUCUUAAUUCGUAUUUAAUCGUCGAUUAAUCGCUUCUUUCAGAAAUCUUGAAAAAAAAAAAACAUUUGUAAAUAUUUAAUCAAAUGAUCCGUUGGAAAUUUUUCUUGGUGUGCUUAUUUUUAUUGCCGUAAUUGUGUAAUAAUUUGCGUAACGGUACCGCCUGCGUAAAUAAAUUUUAUCUAGGCAAUCGAAAACGCAUUUCAUCUGCGAUCACGAGCUAUCACGAUUUGAUCUGAAUCUUUUGAAGAAGACAACGCUGCUGAUCUGGCAGCGAUUGUUUUGAUUUAUGUUAUUUAUUUUUGCCUUUUGUUUCUUUCUCUUUUCUUACAGAGAGCUUUUAUUUCAUACGUUUGUGCCUUGAAUUCGUUCUAGAAACUCGAGGCCACGCAUUUUUAGCGAUAUCUAUGAAAAUUGUUGUUAAACAUAUUAUUUAUGAUCUUGCAACGUCAUUUAGCUUGCACUGUUGGUCGGUUAAUUCCUCUUUGUUACGAAACCGACAAAACGAUUGUAAAUUCGUGUUAUCAUUAUCAAGAUUUGAAUUUUAGUCUUGGGCUGAUGUUUACGAUAUGACCUGCGCCAUUUCGAAGAUAAAUGGCUCAUGUGCGUGUUACCGUUUCCAUCAAAUAUGUAGUGGCGCUCUCUCCUAGAUUAAUGUGCGACUUUUAAGGGAGAGAAUUAAUGGACAACCUUCGACCUACUCGUAACGCAGAAAAGGAUGGGCCGUUUAAAUUUAACAUGGGCUAUCAGCUGCUGUGGCUCAUUCGGGAUCGAUUGAUAUUAUCUGCAAGCAAUCUGUUAACCGUUUGUAUCACUUUUGUAUCAAAUCGAUUUUUUAUUCUUAUCUCAGAUUAUGUUUCAGUGACCCAAAAAGCUUUAGAAGAUUAUAAGAGAUAUUUAUUUGGACAGGAGAAUAGAAAUAUAUCUAUUUAUUUUUAUGAAAGAUAUAGAUGUAGAAAUAAUAAUAGUAAAGGAACGAUCUUCCUGCAAUUAAGUCACUAAUUUUUACGACUUUAUUAUAAAAUGUAUAAAAAUAUAAUACAUAUUCUACGAGAGUUUUGCUGUUAGAUGUAACGUUUUGUGCGAUUCACGGACAGUUCUGAGGUUUUUUUAGUACAUUUUUUUGUAUCGUUUCUUAUUCAGGGACUGUGUGCAUUCUUAAAAUAAAUUUCAUGUAAGAUACAGUAAGUCUAUAUCGGUUUCAACAGAUCUUAAUUUGGAUCUCUGAUCUACUUGGAUUGCAUCUUAGAUAUAUACUUAUUAUUUACUUACUUAUUUAAGCCUUCGGACCUCAAAUACUUUCGAGUAAAUAGCAUUUUGGGUCGCUGUCACUAAUUCCGAAUCUUUCAACACUUUGCAUCCGUAAACGCGAAGAACGAAAAGUAUCUUUGAGGUUUCCGUCCGGCACCUGCUCACCACUUGUCUAAAUCAUCACACGCAUUUCGUCGGCAUGGAUACCGAAGCAACCUUGAACUUCAUCCAUGUGUCGCCGUCUUCCUUGGCACAUAAUUUCGAUUGCUAUGAGAAUUGAUUGAGAAGGACGAAAAAUGUAAUCGCAAACCCGAGUGGUGUUUUAAAGCAAAACUUAUACGCAAAAAAAACAUUGAUGUUUGAUAAUGAAAUUAAUAAAGAGCGAACAAUGAAUCAAAAUCUAUUAUUCUCGAAAGCGUAGUCGCGAAUAAACAAUUAUUUAUGAUUUUAUGUAUAGAAUCAGUAAUUUCGUUCUUAAUGAUAAGAAUAAUAAAAUCUCUUUUAUUUUUAUUAUUAUAUCUAUUAUAACAUCUCGAGGUUUUUUAAAAGAGGAUCGAUUAUGAAUAUAAAAAGAACGAUUUUGCUAAUAUAUAUCUAAAAAUGAAGUUAUAGCAAAUACUUUUGUUGGCCCAUUAAAAUGAUUAUGUAAGACGCUCAAGUUGGUUGCAGGAAUGUCAAAACUUUUUGCAGCUUUUUCAUAUCUAAAAAAAUUAGUGUCAGUUCAAAAAUUAUUUUUCCAUAUAUAAGCAAAAAUGUAAAAUCUUCAAAGAAUUUAUUAAUUUUAAGCAGACAUAACUUGCUCAUAUUUUUUGUAUAGUUUGUAUAGUUUAACAAGAAGAAUAUACUCUCAUAUAUAUUAUCCAAUAAUAAUUUUUAUUGAAUUGGAAGGAAAAAAAUAUUAAGCUAAUUUUUUUCUGUGAUUUGAGCGUUCUAUAAUUAUUUUGGCAAUCUAAAUUAUUUUCUUAUCUUUACUUGUGCCUAAAUUUUUAUGUUUUAGUAAAAUCGUUCCUUUCGCGAAAUUACUAACGAGAUAUUUUUUCCAUUCGCAAGUCACUUUUCGUCUCUCGGCAUGAAAGUUGCAAGAGGGUUGAAGGGUUGUUGCUCGUCACCGGACUACGGUCUAGGAUCGGUCGGAUCGGGGAAUGCGAUUGCGUACUCCAGUUACCUAAUAAUGAAAUCAGGUCUGGCUUCGAUGGACGAAGUUUUUGUAGGUUACAGGAAGGCCGCGCGAAAACUCGCUUCUCUCAUCGCUUUGCAACCUUGUCCGCACGUCGUCGCCGUCAUCGUCGUCGUCGUCGGUCAGGGUCAGGGAAAGGCGUGUCCCAUCAUCUGCUUUUCUUACCUUGGUAUUUUUCUUUUUGUCUUUUCGCCUUCCCUUCUCUUUUUUUCUCUUUUAUUUAUUUUUUCUGUAGGAAUUUCGAAAUCCUUAUAUCCGAAUAUUUUUCUAUCGUCAUAUAUACGGAGAAAAUUCUCUCCGUGUAUGAGUUACAAUGAUGGUGAGUUACUCUAUGAAACAUCGCUUUACUUGGAACUUUUUUAAUAAGUUUUUGUAUCGAUCUCACGAUUUUCGUCUUUUUUUUAUCACACCCGAUGCGAAAACGGAAGAUUACUAAGCAAAAAGAAAGAGGAUUAUUUUGGCGAAAGAAUUUCCGCCUUUUUAUUGUACGAGCUAAAAGGCCUUUUGUUUUAUCUGCAUUGAAAAAAAGUAAUGAAUUCAACAAAACGUUUUGUUGCUGCCAAUAAAAGAUAUACUUAGUAUGAUAAUAUUUGCUGUUAAUGCAAGUAUAAUUUGAUUGAACUACGCAUUUAUAUUGCAAUACCACAUAUUGUAUUGACAUAUGAGUAUAUCUUUUGUUGGCAGUCUACAGCAAAAAAAUGUUGACUCAAUUACUUUUUUUUCUCAGUGUGAGGUAUACUUAUUUUGUAUUUUUUCCAAAUCUUUCCUGCAUCAUUAAAGCUUAGACACAUCGAAUGGAAUAACUACAAAUAAGAUAGAAAGAUAAACUACAAAUAAGAUAGAAAGUUUCAUGAAAGGUGGUUAAAAGACUUUCUUUUCAAACAGCUAUUUCAUUUGUUCUCCACUUCUAUUUUUUAUGGAAGUGGAGAACAAGUGAAAUAGCUGUUUGAAAAGAAAACUUCUCUGUAUCCGUCUACAUCCUUAUAUUCGGCUAACGUGAAAAGCGAGGCCUCGAUAAAUUUUGAAGUGAUCGGUCUUGACGUUUAAAUAAUACAGGAUUGAUCGUGAGUAACGAUAAGAACGCCAGUAAACUUUGUUUUCUCGAAGAAACGAGAACGUGACGGUGGAUCUGAACGCCCUCUCGGCUUCUAAAUAUAAUUUAUUGAUAACGACUGAUAAUUUUUUAAAAUAACCCUAAGCACCCUCGGAUCUCUCUCCGUUACCUUGCGUAAUAUCGGAAUCCUUCCGCGAAUAUGAACGGAAAUACGAAUAGCCCGGAGGAAUUCGUUCCCCGAAGACCGCCCGCCGCUUUUGGCAGCGUGCUGCAUAAUUCAUCGAACGUUGAAAGCACGUUUACCCGAAUGCAAGAUCGGUUCCUAUGCGCUCAGUUACGUAACGACGUCGAUAAAUGAGAAGAAGUCAGGUGGCAAGGUAUCCUUUUGACGGCGGGAAGGGGUAGGAAGGGUGCGUCAAGGAGGAAUCGAUUGCACCCUCCCGAAGCGUCUCAUAAAAACCUUAUUGCCCACGGUACGGUAAAUCCGCUUCCGGUGGAAUGGAAUUACACACACGAAAAUCGCGUCACGGACGAGGCGUCUCUCUCCGCUUCGGAGAGUCUUAAAGUGCAAUUCGCAACAGAGUUACGUCCCGUCCCCGUCGCAAUUUCGAGGCGCUUUGAACGUGACCACAAAAUGACCGCCCUCGGACAUUAUAAGUAAAGAUGGCAGGAUGUGUGGGUUCACGCCGACAACCGUUGAACGUGUUGCCCGACUUUAUGCGCUCUUGAAAAAACCGAUACAAAUAUCUUAAUCCUUUUUAACGUUAUUACAAAUGUAUAAUUAUUAUAAAUAAAUGCAGAAUCUGAAUCUCUAGGCUAGGAUAGUAGUAUUUCUAGCCUAUCUCUUUUCAGAAAACGUAAACUUUCGGUCGCAUCAAUUUGUUUGGCGCGUCGGUUCUCUCGUUAAUCCGUCGGAGAAAAAUAGGAGAAAUAAAUACAUCGGUUACGUAAUAACGCCUUGAAAGGUGGUGCGACAGAGAAAGGAGGGAACACGCGCGGUCUUCGUACCACGAGGCACAUGUUCUCUCGCGGAGCAGCGGGGAGCGAGGAGCGAGAGGAGAAGCGCGUGUCUUCGCUUCACGAAGUCGUGGUAAUAGCGACCGUUCGCUCGGGCAUCAGGCAUAUCGCCGUUGCAUAUCGUGUUUCCACGUUGGACCGCGGGUGAGGGAGACAGAGAGACAAAGAGAGAAAGAGGGAGAGACAGCUUGCACCGGAGUCGGCCCGAGCGCGGAGCUCCGAUCAGCUGGGAGCCACGCGGUGUUGCCAACUCGCGCACGCGUGACCCCCGGCUGCCGUGGAUCAAUAGUUAGCCGACCUGGCAACGCCGCGAGCUACCGUCGUCGGCUCUUUAUUUAAACGUGCCAGUCGCUCGGCUCCGCGUGCCGACCGUUUCUCCCUGGGUUCUCCUUCCCACCCCUUCUUCUUGCGCUCUGUCUCGCCCUUCUCCUCUCGCUCGGCGUCGUUCGUUUUAUCUCUCUCUCUCUUUCUCACUGUCUGGUCUUUCUCUCACUUCCUUACUUUUCCUUCUCUCUCGACACGCACUCACCGUGUCUUCUCGCUUCGCGCUCCCGGGCGCUCUUCGGAUUGACAUUUCUGAAAGAUUGAUUUCUGUUCGAAAUACGCGUGGGAGCGCGGCUCGAAUUCUCCUGGGAAGGAUUCGAACUGUCGGAACGGAAUUGCUUUAGCUAUUGUACUCGCGAUUAUAAAUACUUCGCGCUGGGUGUAUAAACGCACGCGAGGCGGACGGUGUGGGGAUCAGGGCCGUAGAUACCGGUCGCGGCCGUUGCACCCGGGUGUUACUUCAACGGACGUAACUGUUGCGAAUCGCGUUAUGCCGUGGAAGCUCAAUGCGAGAGGCAGAGUUCGUUUUAAUUGCGCGUCGAUGUAAAUGCCGACGGAAUUGUGUACGAUGUACUAAAAAAAGAAAUACUGUCACGGUUCGAUGUGUCGCGUCGUUGCGCACUAAAUGUCCAAUUUCGACAGUUCCCCAUUUUCAUUAAGUGUUUUAUAAAGUCAGAGGUUGCACGAUUGAUUUAAUUGCGUUAACGUUACGUAUUCCCUUCCCGAGAAAUGGCCUGAAUGCGAAACCGAUAUUUUAUCGCGCGGCGACCCAGUAUUAUAUUUACACGGCCUUAUUUUGCAAACGUAUAUAACCACCGACGUUGGAUUUCGAUUCCUAAACCGGGAACGGAAGGUAACGCAAGAGCCGGGAGGGAUAUUUCGACAUCGGGAGUCCACGCGACAAGGCUGUCGCGCGUUGCUUGCCCAAGAGUCGGUUGUUUGCUUAGCUUCCAGCCGGCCGGAUGUGAUAAGGCUGCCCCCGGCGCACUGAAACGGCUCCCUAUUCGCGAGAGAAGGUGAAAACAAAAGUGUAUCUCUGUCUGAUCGUAACACUUUCACGCGGAAUCCGAUCGAUCGUUCUACCACCGCCGACGACAAGGAAACGCAUCGAACACUUCUAGGAGCCCGACCUCCGACAGAAAAAUCGACUUCCCCGUCCUACAAACGUCGUCGUCUUGGCCCGCCUCGCCUAUUUCGUGACCCACUUCCUCCCCCGCGCGCGGCGAAGGGAGGGAAAAUAAGGACGCAUCCUUGUCGCAAAUAACAAUAAUCCGCCGAGGUCGUCACGAGGAUAUUUCCUCGUGCUGCAAUAAAACAAAUUGCGUCGGGCGCUUGUUUGUUAUUUUCCAGGAAUCAAACUGCACCCGGCCGGCCGCGCCACCCCUCCCCGCAUUCUGCACAUUCGCGUUGCUAGCACGGGCGACAAAGUUCUUUUAUUUUCUAUUUAAAUAUUUAACCGCGUAUUUUUACGCCCGUAUUUAACUGCCCCGUCUGUGUGCGCUUAUAAUUUUCAACCAGUUUCUGCGUAUUCUGCAGCGAGGUUUCUAUAUCAGUAAAAUUUUCCGUGCUUCUUCGAAACGCGUCUCGUCGACGUUUCUUACGAUUGCAACGAAUAAAACGUUCCUUCCGUUAAUAUCGCUGAGCGAGCUUAUUCCGCUCGAAAAUUUCGCAGCUGCUAAGCGCGGUCGAUGACCGUAGCGGUUCUACCGGGUGAUGCGUUCCUCUCACCAUCGCGGCCAUUUGUUCCUACGCCUAAUUAUCCCACUGUUUAACGUAUUCCGCUAACGCCCUCCCCCUUUUCCCGUCUCUGCGUUUCAUCCUCCGUCCGCAGCGCGCAUUCCCGCCGGUAUCAACGGAGUCACAUUUAAUCGCCGGACAAGUUUCCGCUCGGACGUGUCCGGCGCUGGCGCCAGAGAAAAUCAAAAGCGCGCGUACGAUCGUCACUUUCACGCGACAGAUAAUGGCGAGGGGGAGAGACAAAUGUUCGUACGCGAGAGAGGCAACGAAUCGCGACUGUCAACUUUCCCACAAUUUUUUUUCCCCCGGCGUUCGCGUGCCCGACUCGUUUAAUUCUCCCGCUGUCAAUCGAAGUAAAAGCUACGCCGUAUAUACUGCACGAAACGAUUCGAUUAUCGCCUAGUUCGAUACAUUUAUGGAUGGACGGGGAGGGGAAGGAUUACGUGUCUGGUUUCGAUAGGGCGCGAAGCCACGCGAAACGAACCAUGAAGGUUUUUUUCCUUUACCGAAUUUAAUUUUUUAAGUGUCUGCCGCCUUUUGUCUGCGAUUUUCGUUAACGUUGUCGAACAGUCUUAAUUUAUGUUCGAAGUUGUUCGACUUUCAGUCUGUCUCGUUUGAAAUGUUAAUCGCGAUCGUAGGCGAGUUGUUCCAUUCAUCUAUCGAUGAUAAGCUCUCACGGAGCAAAGUCGCAAUUGAUCAGUCAACGAGUUAAAAAAAAAAGAAAGCUCGUUCUGUACGUUCAACAAUUCCGCGCGCUCCAUUUCGCAAUUGUUUCGAUCGCGGCUUUCGACGUAAACACGUGUGCAUUAUAUCCCACGAUUGCGAUAGCAUAUCGCGGAGUGGUACCGAUUGCUCCCUGACCUAAAGGAGAGUGCACUAUACAUCGCGAUAGAAUAAGAGUAGGCGCAGCCUAAUCGCCUGGCAGAUUAAGGAAAUUUUUGAAGCUUUCAUCAAAUUGAAGCGUUUUAUCAGCUCGAUUCGAAGGAACCGACGCACGUGCCGAAAUGCCGCAAGAUAAACGAUAGCGCGGUGUGCUAUCGCAUAAAGUUUCCAACAAGUUUCGGGUAGCGGGUUUAUAGCUUCCGCUCGUAAAAGAGUUAAGUCAAUACGUGAUCAGAGUGCUUGAACUUCGCGAGGAUUCCGGCUUUCGCGCGUUUCUCGAGAUCCGAGAUGUAGGACGAGCGGAGCGACGAUCUUCAAGCUGGCAAGUGGCACUCGGUUUGAUGAGCAGUUACAUUUACGAUCGCGGAGGUGUUGCAAAUGGGCGCGACGCGGGAAUGGCAAAUGGUAUUGUCCACUCAUCGGCCAUUAAAGCGAACGCUAGACUGUCAGUCACGAUGUUAAGCAAGUGCAGCUGUCCACCCACGUGCGUUUACGUAGGCCAGAAUUGCGUGGCACGGUACUCCAGUUUUGCAUAAGGUGCGGAGCCCUAGGGACUCCUACUUUUGAAUAUUAAAAUUUAAAAAAAUAAACAUAAUUGCACGUACACACACUUGCUGCUGUACUUUGUUGGAUUCUUUAGAGUUUACUUGUUUUUUUAAAUAAAACUCUGUUCUGGAUAGCAAAGAAGAAAAUCUCCACGCCUACAGCUGAGAAUAAUAAAAGAUAUCAUCUAACAAAGAAAUAUACAUCGUUUUUUAUACGCUAGACUUAGAUAAGAAUAUAAUAAGAUAGGUCGAGUGUAAAAAGAAAAUGUAAAAAUAAAAUAUUUAUAAAUGAAAA